GACGAACGCUGGCGGCGUGCUUAACACAUGCAAGUCGAACGGAAAGGCCCCCACCUUGGUGGGGGUGCUCGAGUGGCGAACGGGUGAGUAACACGUGGGUGAUCUGCCCUGUACUUCGGGAUAAGCUUGGGAAACUGGGUCUAAUACCGGAUAGGACCAUGGUUUAGUGUCUCAUGAUGGAAAAAUUAUUGUUUUGGUGCAGGAUGAGCUCGCGGCCUAUCGGCUUGUUGGUGGGGUAAUGGCCUACCAAGGCGUCGACGGGUAGCCGGCCUGAGAGGGUGGACGGCCACAUUGGGACUGAGAUACGGCCCAGACUCCUACGGGAGGCAGCAGUGGGGAAUAUUGCACAAUGGGCGCAAGCCUGAUGCAGCGACGCCGCGUGGGGGAUGACGGCCUUCGGGUUGUAAACUCCUUUCGUUAGGGACGAAGCCACACCUUUUUUGGGUGUGGUGACGGUACCUUUGUUAAGAAGCACCGGCUAACUACGUG
rnacentral:rRNA from 1 species